rnacentral:rRNA from 1 species
AGUGAACGCUGGCGGUAGGCCUAACACAUGCAAGUCGAACGGCAGCACAGUAAGAGCUUGCUCUUACGGGUGGCGAGUGGCGGACGGGUGAGGAAUACAUCGGAAUCUACUUUUUCGUGGGGGUUAACGUAGGGAAACUUACGCUAAUACCGCAUACGCCCUACGGGGGAAAGCAGGGGAUCUUCGCACCUUGCGCGAUUGAAUGCGCCGAUGUCGGAUUAGCUAGUUGGCGGGGUAAAGGCCCACCAAGGCGACGAUCCGUAGCUGGUCUGAGAGGAUGAUCAGCCACACUGGAACUGAGACACGGUCCAGACUCCUACGGGAGGCAGCAGUGGGGAAUAGUGGACAAUGGGCGCAAGCCUGAUCCAGCCAUACCGCGUGGGUGAAGAAGGCCUUCGGGUUGUAAAGCCCUUUUGUUGGGAAAGAAAAGCAGCAGGUUAAUACCCCGCUGUUCUGACGGUACCCAAAGAAUAAGCACCGGCUAACUUCGUG